AGCGAACGCUGGCGGCAGGCUUAACACAUGCAAGUCGAGCGGGCAUCCUUGUGGUGUCAGCGGCAGACGGGUGAGUAACGCGUGGGAACGUGCCCUUCGGUUCGGAAUAACUCAGGGAAACUUGAGCUAAUACCGGAUACGUGCGAGAGCAGAAAGGUUUAUCUGCCGAAGGAUCGGCCCGCGUCUGAUUAGCUAGUUGGUGAGGUUAUGGCUCACCAAGGCGACGAUCUGUAGCUGGUCUGAGAGGAUGAUCAGCCACACUGGGACUGAGACACGGCCCAGACUCCUACGGGAGGCAGCAGUGGGGAAUAUUGGACAAUGGGGGCAACCCUGAUCCAGCCAUGCCGCGUGAGUGAUGACGGCCUUAGGGUUGUAAAGCUCUUUUCUCCGGGACGAUAAUGACGGUACCGGAGGAAUAAGCCCCGGCUAACUUCGUG
rnacentral:rRNA from 1 species